ACACAUGCAGUCGAACGAUGACUCUCUAGCUUGCUAGAGAUGAUUAGUGGCGGACGGGUGAGUAACAUUUAGGAAUCUGCCUAGUAGUGGGGGAUAGCUCGGGGAAACUCGAAUUAAUACCGCAUACGACCUACGGGUGAAAGGGGGCGCAAGCUCUUGCUAUUAGAUGAGCCUAAAUCAGAUUAGCUAGUUGGUGGGGUAAAGGCCCACCAAGGCGACGAUCUGUAACUGGUCUGAGAGGAUGAUCAGUCACACCGGAACUGAGACACGGUCCGGACUCCUACGGGAGGCAGCAGUGGGGAAUAUUGGACAAUGGGGGCAACCCUGAUCCAGCCAUGCCGCGUGUGUGAAGAAGGCCUUUUGGUUGUAAAGCACUUUAAGCAGGGAGGAGAGGCUAAUGGUUAAUACCCAUUAGAUUAGACGUUACCUGCAGAAUAAGCACCGGCUAACUCUGUGCCAGCAGCCGCGGUAAUACAGAGGGUGCGAGCGUUAAUCGGAAUUACUGGGCGUAAAGCGAGUGUAGGUGGCUCAUUAAGUCACAUGUGAAAUCCCCGGGCUUAACCUGGGAACUGCAUGUGAUACUGGUGGUGCUAGAAUAUGUGAGAGGGAAGUAGAAUUCCAGGUGUAGCGGUGAAAUGCGUAGAGAUCUGGAGGAAUACCGAUGGCGAAGCAGCUUCCUGGCAUAAUAUUGACACUGAGAUUCGAAAGCGUGGGUAGCAAACAGGAUUAGAUACCCUGGUAGUCCACGCCGUAAACGAUGUCUACUAGCCGUUGGGGUCCUUGAGACUUUAGUGGCGCAGUUAACGCGAUAAGUAGAC
rnacentral:rRNA from 1 species